AGGAUCAUUCGCAAUGGGGGAAACCCUGACGAUGCGACGCUGCGUGGAGGAUGAAGGCCUUCGGGUUGUAAACUCCUGUCAUGAGGGAAAAGGCGAGGGGACCCAACACGUUCUUUAGUUGAUGGUACCUCAAGAGGAAGGGACGGCUAACUCUGUGCCAGCAGCCGCGGUAAUACAGAGAUCCCUAGCGUUGUUCGGAUUUACUGGGCGUAAAGGGCGCGUAGGCGGCGUGGCGUGUCAAGUGUGAAAUCUCCGGGCUCAACCCGGAAAGUGCGCUUGAAACUAUCAUGCUCGAGGCCGGGAGAGGGAAUCGGAAUCGAGGGUGUAGCGGUGAAAUGCGUUGAUAUCCUCGAGAACACCGGAGGCGAAGGCGGAUUCCUGGAACGGCACUGACGCUGAGGCGCGAAAGUCGGGGGAGCAAACA
rnacentral:rRNA from 1 species